ensembl:snRNA Gm26122 predicted gene, 26122
AAAAAAAGGAACGCUACAGAGAAGAUUAGCAUGGCCUCUGCGCAAGGAUGACAUGCAAAUUUGUGAAGCAUUCCAUAUUUAA